GGCAGGUACGGACCUAACCGCAAGGGGGCCGCCUCGCCCAACGGUGAGUUCAGUGACUGGGGUG
rnacentral:rRNA from 1 species